AUGUGUACCAUUACGCCUGAAGACCUUCAACGGACCAAGUUCCACUACCGCCGACUAGUACGACUACCAUCGCAAAAACGAGACCGUCAAGACCGGACUGACCAGUACCCCGAGAAUGUCUGUACCUCUACCGUCGACAUGCUUUUCGUCAAGUCCCUCUACGAAAACGUGUCCCACUACUGCCGCCCGAACGUCUACGAAACAUGUACCACAACCAUCGCUGAAGACCCCAUUAACGUCAAGUUCCGUGUCGUGACCCCGAACAUCUACGGACAUGAACCACUACUUCCCUCGACGACCCGUGAACAACUACUUCCUCUAUGA
rnacentral:rRNA from 1 species